GUGCGAGCAGCCGCGGUAAUACAUAGGGGGCAAGCGUUAUCCGGAAUUACUGGGUGUAAAGGGUGCGUAGGCGGUUUAUUAAGUCAGAAUUGAAAGCCCGAGGCUCAACCUCGGAAUUGGUUUUGAAACUGGUAAACUAGAGUACAGGAGAGGAAAGUGGAAUUUCUAGUGUAGCGGUGAAAUGCGUAGAUAUUAGAAGGAACAUCGAUGGCGAAGGCAACUUUCUGGACUGUAACUGACGCUGAGGCACGAAAGCAUGGGUAGCAAACAGGAUUAGAUACCCGAGUAGUCC
rnacentral:rRNA from 1 species